rnacentral:rRNA from 1 species
AUGACUGACGACACAUGCGGUUUCAUGAGUUGGAACGUGAGAGGGCUCAACUCACCGGCGAGGAGAGCCAUGGUUAUUGAGCUAGUUAGUGCCAUGCUCCCGGCGAUCCUCUGCCUGCAGGAGACAAAGAUCGACACUUGGUCCCCCAGCUUGGUGUGUGACAUUGGUGGGCGCGCUCUGGACGGCUGCGUUGUCCUACCGGCGAUCGGCACCUGCGGUGGUGCGGCCAUCUUCUGGGAUUCCACCAUCGCCAGCAUUGCCACGCAUAGCAUUGGGCUCUUCUCCAUCACGGCGAUCGUCACGCUGCUGCGC